UCUUUGGUUGCUUGGCUGUAUGAUUGAGUUUGCAAGAUCAUAAAGCUAUGCUACCGGAGGCU
rnacentral:pre_miRNA from 1 species